GAAGAGAGACUGAGAGACAGUGAGAGAGAGAAGAGAGACUGAGAGACAGAGUCUCUCUUCUCUCUCUCACUGUCUCUCAGUCUCUCUUUCU
rnacentral:pre_miRNA from 1 species